GACCCAGGACGAGGCUUGAGUCCUCAGAGGAAAGAGCUGAGUACCAGACACCUGGCAUCUUUGAGGCUUGAAAACAGCAGCUGUCAACAGAGGAGAGUUGAAAUGAAAAAGCAAAAAGGAAUCCAUUGAGAGCCAAGCCUGGU